rnacentral:rRNA from 1 species
CAGUUAAAAAGCUCGUAGUUGAACGUUCGGGUUCCGCGGGACGGGGCCGCCCCCGCGAGGGACGGCGCCGCCCCGGGGCUCGUGAUAUCUUAUCUCGCCGCCCGUCGCGAGGCGGACGGAGGGAUGGAUGAGGUUACCUGGAAAAAAUCGGGGCGAUCUAGGCGGGCGAACCUCGCCAACGAACGAUCGGACAUGGGAUAACGGAAGAGGGCGUCGGCUCGACUUCGUCGGUUCCUCGGGCCGAGGCACGUACGGUGAAUAGGGACGGUCGGGGCCGCCCGUACCGGGUCGUGAGAGGUGAAAUUCUAGGAUCGACCCGAGACGAACUGCCGCGAAAGCAUUCGGCAAGGACGCUUUCAUUAAUCAAGAACGAAAGUCGGGGGAUCGAUCCGUCUGGUUAAUUCCGUUAACGAACGAGACCUCGGCACUCCGAAUAGCGCGGCGGACGUCGCGGCCUCCGGGCCGUCUUCCGCACGAGCUUCUUAGAGGGACCGUCCCCCGCCGGGGAAGGAGGUGCGAGGCAACGACAGGUCUGUGAUGCCCUUAGAUGUCUGGCCGCACGCGCAUUACACUGACGCGUCCAACGGG